rnacentral:rRNA from 1 species
CCUACGGGUGGCUGCAGUGGGGAAUAUUGGGCAAUGGGCGCAAGCCUGACCCAGCAACGCCGCGUGAAGGAAGAAGGCUUUCGGGUUGUAAACUUCUUUUCUGAGGGACGAAGAGAGUGACGGUACCCCAGGAAUAAGCCUCGGCUAACUACGUGCCAGCAGCCGCGGUAAUACGUAGGUGGCAAGCGUUAUCCGGAUUUAUUGGGUGUAAAGGGCGUGUAGGCGGGAAAGCAAGGCAGAUGUGAAAACUCAGGGCCCAACCCUGAGCCUGCAUUUGAAACUGUUUUUCUUGAGUGCUGGAGAGGCAAUCGGAAUGCCGGGUGUAGCGGUGAAAUGCGUAGAUAUACGGAAGAACACCAGUGGCGAAGGCGGAUUGCUGGACAGUAACUGACGCUGAGGCGCGAAAGCGUGGGGAGCAAACAGGAUUAGAUACCCGGGUAGUC